ensembl:lncRNA
AUUUAUUUGAGGUCUGCAUCCCAGACUCAGAAUGCUGGCUUUCCCAUUAUCAACCCAUUUGGGCUCAGGUUGACUGAGCCCCUACCUAACCCAACAAGCUGAGUUAUAAAAAAAAAUGAACCAGCAAUUUUGGUGUACAUCUGAUAUGCUCAUAUUGCAUGUGCACACAAGUUGAGACCUUUAUCACAGAGUCGCAUAGAAACAGUGACAUGGUAUUUGUCAUAAAGUCACUUCCUCUACUUUUCUCUACUUGCUUUUGUACAUACCCAUGUACUGUACUGUAUGUUCACAGUCUGAGAUUUCUGUCCUUAAAAGCUUUCAUAGAAUCUGUUUUUCUCUCUUUUUUCACUUCUGCCUCCUUCUCCCACCAGAGUAAGUGUAUCCAAUCCAUUUUCUGUCAGAGUGAUGGAUUUGACUUGCUCACUAGAAAUGCUACUUGAUAGCUUAGCUUGUUAGCUUACACACUGCUGUGUCUGAGAUAGACAGACUGUUGUUGUCUUGCUAGUGACUCAUUCCAGCUCAUGCAACUAAGUUACUAGUGCCAACAGGGCUGGAGUGGUCUGUCCCUACAUUGGCCUUACACCAAUGUAGGGACAAUGUUGUCAACCUGAGCUUCUCUGGUUCAUGGUUAGGAGUAGUGUACAUGUACCUCUUGAAUUUGGAAGUGCUUCCAACCAGAAGUGCUCCGGCAGCCAUUUUACAAUUCCCUACCAACAGAGGGCGGCGACCGCCAACGGACGAAAACUGUCAAGAUGACCUGAUGUGCUGCUCUUAACUGCAAAACAACGUUGCUAAAGUAUGUAGCAGAAGUGCCCACAGAUUGUAAUUUAUACAGAUCAUGUACCUAUUAAACACAAAUGCGUCAUUAUCCCCAUGUAUAGUGGGGAUAACGGUCAUAAUCUUUUGCAACAACCGGCUCAUUGGUAUUAUAAAGUCUGGUUGGAGUUCUCAUCACUUGGAAAUCACUUGCUGUUGCUGAGAGUAGCACCACAUGGACAGCCUAAACAUGAGUGAGAUUAGUGAGGAUGGAACUACUUAAAAACCAUGAAGAUGGCUUUCAAACUGAUAUUAACAGUAUUGCUACAAUGAUUUAUGACUACAAUUGCUAUGAUAGCUUUAGGACUGCAAUUGCCAUGAUCAGUUCUGCACUCAUGUCUCAUGGUUAUGAAUUUCCUGCUUACGCUAUUGCACUUUUUGACCAGUACAUAGUUAUAGAAGGAAAUUAUUUAUAAUCGCACUAUCCGUUGUCACUCAGAUGAAGAUGGAUUCCCUUUUGAGUCUGGUUCCUCUCAAGGUUUCUUCUGCAAAAUGUUUCAGGGAGCUUUUCCUUGCCACCAUCACCUCUGGCUUGCUCAUUAGGGAUAAAUUUAUAAAGUAAAUUUUACAUCCUGAAUUUAUAAAUUUCUGUACAGGUGCUUUGUGACAAUGUCCAUUGUUAAAAGUGCUAUACAAAUACAAUUCAAGUGAACUGAAUUGAAUUGACUUGAACUGAAUGUGCACUUCUUGAAUAGUAAGGAGACCAUUGGAAGGGCAGACAUUCACAAAUAUAUUUGUAAAGUAUAGGUUUUUAAACCAUUUAAACACAGGUAAGGUGUCCUUUACAAAAACCUAUGUGCAUGCUUCAGAUAACUAACUUGGGGUUUGGGAUAGAGCCUUGAACAUUUAAAAGUUUUUCAAGGUGCUUGCAACAAAUAAUUCAGGCAAUAAUUUAAUAAUUACAGCAGAGAAAUAAAAGCUCUGUGUAUCCACCAGAUAAUCUAAUUUACAUUUGUCAUGGAUUCUCUGGUCACUCUUUUUUUAUUGCCACAGCCAUUGUAUAAAAAGUGGCACUCGAGUUAAGGGAAGAAACAUACCAAUAAAAAUCAUGUGAAGAGUUCAAGAAGUAUUCAUUAAACAAUUUUUAUUUAUUUAAGUUAUCUGUGAAGAUAACUGCAUACAAAAACAUAAAAGUCCUGAAUGAAAUCAAAACUAAAUAAAACUAUCUUCCUUUCGUCUAUUUAUGUCUUCUAUGUACAUCUAGCUUGAUAAAGUAGUCUAGUUUGACCAAAUAAAUGUCCAUAUUAGAGAGUAGGUAAAAGGCUCACCUGAGUUGCAUGGGAGUGUUAUGCUCUUGCUGUAGCGUAUGUGGUUGUGUGAGUAACUGGCGUGACAAGUGAGUGUUUCUCUGUCUGUCCAGUUCGGCUUGCAGAGCAUCAGUGUACUGUUCAUGCUUCUGGACUCUGGAUGAUGGUGAAGAAACUGAGUUGCUCUGGUCCAUGUGAAGUUCACCUGCUGUGGUCUCAAACCCUGCAGAGAGCAGAGCAGCUCCACACAGGAGACAUUAGUGCUGUUCGUCAGCUGCAGGGUAAGAGAUGGUAGAACUGCAGAGAGGGAGAGAACACUGAAAUCAUGACAUUUCCUCAAGAAACUGUACGAUGUAGUACAGGAUUUAUAAAACAAACAUAAUAUUACAUUUACUGCUAGUAUAGUAAGUGACAGAAAACAUUUUAAGAGCAUGUGAAAAGUAAAAGAAGAUUAUAAUCACCAUUAACUUUAAGCCUCAGGGUUACUGAUCUCUCAUCUGGAGUUGGUGGUAUUAAUCUGAUCAUCAAACAUUUAUAAAGACCAGCAUCACUGCUUUCAACACUCGUUAUAUUCAGCCCUAAAGGUUCUGUAUUUACUUUGAACCGAGGUUUGCAGUUAUGGUCAUGAAUUGCAUUAUUCUGAAUAGAAUAUGUACAUAAAAUUGACCCUCCAUCCUUUUCCCACUUAACUCCAAUCCUCAUAAAGUCAGUGUAGUUGAACAGUAAAGGACAUGGUAGAAAGGCAGUAUCCCCACUAGACACGGUAAUGUCCAAGGCACCUAUAGAAUGAAGGCAUCAAUUAGAAUAGUGCAAAAAAAGUACUGGCAUGAGAAAUGCAUAAGGAAAUUAUAACUGAUUACAGAAAUACCUACUCUCCACCUACUAGGUGUAACAUAUAUGAAGGUUGAGAUGGAUGCAAGUGCAGAUAAGAACUUUAUUAGAUGAGAGAUAGGCAGACAAAUCCAAAUCGAAAGCCAAAAGCACGGUAAUAAACAGCCAAGGCAAGGCACAAAAUGAGAAACAAGAUCAAAAACCAUGAAACGAAAAACGAAGAACAAUGUACAAAGGUUUGGUACGGUGGUAACACUCAAUACUUCAAGAAGUACAUAGAUACACGAGGGGUUUGAAGUCCAGACAUAAUCAGGGGGAUAACAAGAACAGCUGAAUACAAUAAUGGCACGUAAGGGAAACAACCAAUGACAAUACAGGGGCGGAGACAGGACAGAAAUAAUAACAGAUGCACAUGUAGAAAGUAAACAAAGACAGACAAUUGCUGUGUCUGAAACUGGUCCCUAUCUCCUAUAUAGUGCACUAUAUCGAGUGCUGGCCAUUUUGUAGUGGUGUCCAAAUUCCGAAAACACCUUCC